GGGGGCUGAUUUUUGGGCGCGGCUGUGCCCGUGGCCUAUUUUUGGAUCACCGAGGCCGCCCGCCAAGUAUGGUGCCAUUCCGAGUCCCGCGGACGAACUUCGCCCACGCCCCCCACCAAGGCUAUAGCCCACGCGAUUUUUGGCCAUUUUUCCGCUGGGGGGUCUUGGGACCCCGACCUUCGGGGGCUGAUUUUUGGGCGAGGCUGUGCCCUUGGCCUAUUUUUGGCACACGGAGGCCGCCCGCCAAGUCUGGGGCCAUUCCGAGUCCCGCGGACGAACUUCGCCCACGCCCCCCACCAAGGCUAUAGCCCACCCGUUUUUGGCCAUUUUUCCGCUGGGGGGUCUUGGGACCCCGACCUUCGGGGGCUGAUUUUUGGGCGCGGCUGUGCCCGUGGCCUAUUUUUGGCACACAGAGGCCGCCUGCCAAGUAUGGUGCCAUUCCGAGUCCCGCGGACGAACUUCGCCCACGCCCCCCACCAAGGCUAUAUACCCCACGCGUUUUUUGGCCAUUUUUCCGCUGGGGGGUCUUGGGACCCCGACCUUCGGGGGCGGAUUUUUGGGCCCGGCUGUGCCCGUGGCCUAUUUUUGGCACACAGAGGCCGCCCGCCAAGUAUGGUGCCAUUCCGAGUCCCGCGGACGAACUUCGCCCACGCCCCCGACCAAGGCUAUAGUCCACCCGUUUUUUGGCCAUUUUUCCGCUGGGGGGUCUUGGGACCCCGACCUUCGGGGGCUGAUUUUUGGGCGCGGCUGUGCCCGUGGCCUAUUUUUGGCACACGGAGGCCGCCCGCCAAGUAUGGUGCCAUUCCGAGUCCCGCGGACGAACUUCGCCCACGCCCCCCACCAAGGCUAUAGCCCACGCGUUUUUUGGCCAUUUUUCCGCUGGGGGGUCUUGGGACCCCGACCUUCGGGGGCUGAUUUUUGGGCGCGGCUGUGCCCGUGGCCUAUUUUUGGCACACGGAGGCCGCCCGCCAAGUAUGGUGCCAUUCCGAGUCCCGCGGACGAACUUCGCCCACGCCCCCCACCAAGGCUAUAGCCCACGCGUUUUUUGGCCAUUUUUCCGCUGGGGGGUCUUGGGACCCCGACCUUCGGGGGCUGAUUUUUGGGCGCGGCUGUGCCCGUGGCCUAUUUUUGGCACACGGAGGCCGCCCGCCAAGUCUGGGGCCAUUCCGGGUCCCGCGGACGAACUUCGCCCACGCCCCCCACCAAGGCUAUAUCCCACGCGUUUUUUGGCCAUUUUUCCGCUGGGGGGUCUUGGGACCCCGACCUUCGGGGGCUGAUUUUUGGGCGCGGCUGUGCCCGUGGCCUAUUUUUGGCACACGGAGGCCGCCCGCCAAGUAUGGUGCCAUUCCGAGUCCCGCGGACGAACUUCGCCCACGCCCCCCACCAAGGCUAUAGCCCACCCGUUUUUUGGCCAUUUUUCCGCUGGGGGGUCUUGGGACCCCGACCUUCGGGGGCUGAUUUUUGGGCGCGGCUGUGCCCGUGGCCUAUUUUUGGCACACGGAGGCCGCCCGCCAAGUAUGGUGCCAUUCCGAGUCCCGCGGACGAACUUCGCCCACGCCCCCCACCAAGGCUAUAGCCCACCCGUUUUUUGGCCAUUUUUCCGCUGGGGGGUCUUGGGACCCCGACCUUCGGGGGCUGAUUUUUGGGCGCGGCUGUGCCCGUGGCCUAUUUUUGGCACACAGAGGCCGCCCGCCAAGUAUGGUGCCAUUCCGAGUCCCGCGGACGAACUUCGCCCACGCCCCCCACCAAGGCUAUAGCCCACGCGUUUUUUGGCCUUUUUUCCGCUGGGGGGUCUUGGGACCCCGACCUUCGGGGGCUGAUUUUUGGGCGCGGCUGUGCCCGUGGCCUAUUUUUGGCACACCGAGGCCGCCCGCCAAGUAUGGUGCCAUUCCGAGUCCCGCGGACGAACUUCGCCCACGUCCCCCACCAAAGCUAUAGCCCACGCGUUUUUUGGCCAUUUUUCCGCUGGGGGGUAUUGGGACCCCGACCUUCGGGGGCUGAUUUUUGGGCGCGGCUGUGCCCGUGGCCUAUUUUUGGCACACAGAGGCCGCCCGCCAAGUAUGGUGCCAUUCCGAGUCCCGCGGACGAACUUCGCCCACGCCCCCCACCAAGGCUAUAGCGCACCCGUUUUUUGGCCAUUUUUCCGCCGGGGGGUCUUGGGACCCCGACCUUCGGGGGCUGAUUUUUGGGCGCGGCUGUGCCCGUGGCCUAUUUUUAGCACACGGAGGCCGCCCGCCAAGUAUGGUGCCAUUCCGAGUCCCGCGGACGAACUUCGCCCACGCCCCCCACCAAGGCUAUAGCCCACGCGUUUUUUGACCAUUUUUCCGCUGGGGGGUCUUGGGACCCCGACCUUCGGGGGCUGAUUUUUGGGCGCGGCUGUGCCCGUGGCCUAUUUUUGGCACACCGAGGCCGCCCGCCAAGUAUGGUGCCAUUCCGAGUCCCGCGGACGAACUUCGCCCACGCCCCCCACCAAGGCUAUAGCCCACGCGUUUUUUGACCAUUUUUCCGCUGGGGGGUCUUGGGACCCCGACGUUCGGGGGCUGAUUUUUGGGCGCGGCUGUGCCCGUGGCCUAUUUUUGGCACACGGAGGCCGCCCGCCAAGUAUGGUGCCAUUCCGAGUCCCACGGACGAACUUCGCCCACGCCCCCCACCAAGGCUAUAGCCCACGCGUUUUUUGGCCAUUUUUCCGCUGGGGGGUCUUGGGACCCCGACCUUCGGGGGCUGAUUUUUGGGCGCGGCUGUUCCCGUGGCCUAUUUUUGGCACACAGAGGCCGCCCGCCAAGUAUGGUGCCAUUCCGAGUCCCGCGGACGAACUUCGCCUACGCCCCCCACCAAGGCUAUAGCCCACCCUUUUUUUGGCCAUUUUUCCGCUGGGGGGUCUUGGGACCCCGACCUUCGGGGGCUGAUUUUUGGGCGCGGCUGUGCCCGUGGCCUAUUUUUGGCACACGGAGGCCGCCCGCCAAGUCUGGGGCCAUUCCGAGUCCCGCGGACGAACUUCGCCCACGCCCCCCACCAAGGCUAUAGCCCACCCUUUUUUUGGCCAUUUUUCCGCUGGGGGGUCUUGGGACCCCGACCUUCGGGGGCUGAUUUUUGGGCGCGGCUGUGCACGUGGCCUAUUUUUGGCACACAGAGGCCGCCCGCCAAGUAUGGUGCCAUUCCGAGUCCCGCGGACGAACUUCGCCCACGCCCCCCACCAAGGCUAUAGCCCACGCGUUUUUUGGCCAUUUUUCCGCUGGGGGGACUUGGGACCCCGACCUUCGGGGGCUGAUUUUUGGGCGCGGCUGUGCCCGUGGCCUAUUUUUGGCACACAGAGGCCGCCCGCCAAGUCUGGUGCCAUUCAGAGUCCCGCGGACGAACUUCGCCCACGCCCCCCACCAAGGCUAUAGCCCACGCGUUUUUUGGCCAUUUUUCCGCUGGGGGGUCUUGGGACCCCGACCUUCGGGGGCUGAUUUUUGGGCGCGGCUGUGCCCGUGGCCUAUUUUUGGCACACGGAGGCCGCCCGCCAAGUAUGGUGCCAUUCCGAGUCCCGCGGACGAACUUCGCCCACGCCCCCCACCAAGGCUAUAGCCCACCCGUUUUUUGGCCAUUUUUCCGCUGGGGGGUCUUGGGACCCCGACCUUCGGGGGCUGAUUUUUGGGCGCGGCUGUGCCCGUGGCCUAUUUUUGGCACACAGAGGCCGCCCGCCUAGUAUGGUGCCAUUCCGAGUCCCGCGGACGAACUUCGCCCACGCCCCCCACCAAGGCUAUAGCCCACCCGUUUUUUGGCCAUUUUUCCGCUGGGGGGUCUUGGGACCCCGACCUUCGGGGGCUGAUUUUUGGGCGCGGCUGUGCCCGUGGCCUAUUUUUGGCACACAGAGGCCGCCCGCCAAGUAUGGUGCCAUUCCGAGUCCCGCGGACGAACUUCGCCCACGCCCCCCACCAAGGCUAUAGCCCACCCGUUUCUUGGCCAUUUUUCCGCUGGGGGGUCUUGGGACCCCGACCUUCGGGGGCUGAUUUUUGGGCGCGGCUGUGCCCGUGGCCUAUUUUUGGCACACCGAGGCCGCCCGCCAAGUAUGGUGCCAUUCCGAGUCCCGCGGACGAACUUCGCCCACGCCCCCCACCAAGGCUAUAGCCCACGCGUUUUUUGGCCAUUUUUCCGCUGGGGGGUCUUGGGACCCCGACCUUCGGGGGCUGAUUUUUGGGCGCGGCUGUGCCCGUGGCCUAUUUUUGGCACACAGAGGCCGCCCGCCAAGUAUGGUGCCAUUCCGAGUCCCGCGGACGAACUUCGCCCACGCCCCCCACCAAGGCUAUAGCGCACCCGUUUUUUGGCCAUUUUUCCGCCGGGGGGUCUUGGGACCCCGACCUUCGGGGGCUGAUUUUUGGGCGCGGCUGUGCCCGUGGCCUAUUUUUAGCACACGGAGGCCGCCCGCCAAGUAUGGUGCCAUUCCGAGUCCCGCGGACGAACUUCGCCCACGCCCCCCACCAAGGCUAUAGCCCACGCGUUUUUUGACCAUUUUUCCGCUGGGGGGUCUUGGGACCCCGACCUUCGGGGGCUGAUUUUUGGGCGCGGCUGUGCCCGUGGCCUAUUUUUGGCACACCGAGGCCGCCCGCCAAGUAUGGUGCCAUUCCGAGUCCCGCGGACGAACUUCGCCCACGCCCCCCACCAAGGCUAUAGCCCACGCGUUUUUUGACCAUUUUUCCGCUGGGGGGUCUUGGGACCCCGACGUUCGGGGGCUGAUUUUUGGGCGCGGCUGUGCCCGUGGCCUAUUUUUGGCACACGGAGGCCGCCCGCCAAGUAUGGUGCCAUUCCGAGUCCCACGGACGAACUUCGCCCACGCCCCCCACCAAGGCUAUAGCCCACGCGUUUUUUGGCCAUUUUUCCGCUGGGGGGUCUUGGGACCCCGACCUUCGGGGGCUGAUUUUUGGGCGCGGCUGUGCCCGUGGCCUAUUUUUGGCACACGGAGGCCGCCCGCCAAGUAUGGUGCCAUUCUGAGUCCCGCGGACGAACUUCGCCCACGCCCCCCACCAAGGCUAUAGCCCACCCGUUUUUUGGCCAUUUUUCCGCUGGGGGGUCUUUGGACCCCGACCUUCGGGGGCUGAUUUUUGGGCGCGGCUGUGCCCGUGGCCUAUUUUUGGCACACAGAGGCCGCCCGCCUAGUAUGGUGCCAUUCCGAGUCCCGCGGACGAACUUCGCCCACGCCCCCCACCAAGGCUAUAGCCCACGCGUUUUUUGGCCUUUUUUCCGCUGGGGGGUCUUGGGACCCCGACCUUCGGGGGCUGAUUUUUGGGCGCGGCUGUGCCCGUGGCCUAUUUUUGGCACACAGAGGCCGCCCGCCAAGUAUGGUGCCAUUCCGAGUCCCGCGGACGAACUUCGCCCACGCCCCCCACCAAGGCUAUAGCCCACGCGUUUUUUGGCCAUUUUUCCGCUGGGGGGUUUUGGGACCCCGACCUUCGGGGGCUGAUUUUUGGGCGUGGCUGUGCCCGUGGCCUAUUUUUGGCACACGGAGGCCGCCCGCCAAGUAUGGUGCCAUUCCGAGUCCCGCGGACGAACUUCGCCCACGCCCCCCACCAAGGCUAUAGCCCACCCGUUUUUUGGCCAUUUUUCCGCUGGGGGGUCUUGGGACCCCGACCUUCGGGGGCUGAUUUUUGGGCGCGGCUGUGCCCGUGGCCUAUUUUUGGCACACAGAGGCCGCCCGCCAAGUAUGGUGCCAUUCCGAGUCCCGCGGACGAACUUCGCCCACGCCCCCCACCAAGGCUAUAGCCCACGCGUUUUUUGGCCUUUUUUCCGCUGGGGGGUCUUGGGACCCCGAUCUUCGGGGGCUGAUUUUUGGGCGCGGCUGUGCCCGUGGCCUAUUUUUCGCAAACAGAGGCCGCCCGCCAAGUAUGGUGCCAUUCCGAGUCCCGCGGACGAACUUCGCCCACGCCCCCCACCAAGGCUAUAGCCCACGCGUUUUUUGGCCAUUUUUCCGCUGGGGGGUCUUGGGACCCCGACCUUCGGGGGCUGAUUUUUGGGCGCGGCUGUGCCCGUGGCCUAUUUUUGGAACACCGAGGCCGCCCGCCAAGUGUGGUGCCAUUCCGAGUCCCGCGGACGAACUUCGCCCACGCCCCCCACCAAGGCUAUAGCCCAUGCGUUUUUUGGCCUUUUUUCCGCUGGGGGGUCUUGGGACCCCGACCUUCGGGGGCUGAUUUUUGGGCGCGGCUGUGCCCGUGGCCUAUUUUUGGCACACAGAGGCCGCCCGCCAAGUAUGGUGCCAUUCCGAGUCCCGCGGACGAACUUCGCCCACGCCCCCCACCAAGGCUAUAGCCCACGCGUUUUUUGGCCAUUUUUCCGCUGGGGGGUCUUGGGACCCCGACCUUCGGGGGCUGAUUUUUGGGCGCGGCUGUGUCCGUGGCCUAUUUUUGGCACACAGAGGCCGCCCGCCAAGUAUGGUGCCAUUCCGAGUCCCGCGGACGAACUUCGCCCACGCCCCCCACCAAGGCUAUAGCCCACCCGUUUUUUGGCCAUUUUUCCGCUGGGGGGUCUUGGGACCCCGACCUUCGGGGGCUGAUUUUUGGGCGCGGCUGUGCCCGUGGCCUAUUUUUGGCACACAGAGGCCGCCCGCCAAGUAUGGUGCCAUUCCGAGUCCCGCGGACGAACUUCGCCCACGCCCCCCACCAAGGCUAUAGCCCACGCGUUUUUUGGCCAUUUUUCCGCUGGGGGGUCUUGGGACCCCGACCUUCGGGGGCUGAUUUUUGGGCGCGGCUGUGCCCGUGGCCUAUUUUUGGCACACGCAGGCCGCCCGCCAAGUAUGGUGCAAUUCCGAGUCCCGCGGACGAACUUCGCCCACGCCUCCCACCAAGGCUAUAGCCCACCCCGUUUUUGGCCAUUUUUCCGCUGGGGGGUCUUUGGAACCCCGACCUUCGGGGGCUGAUUUUUGGGCCGCGGUUGUGCCCGUGGCCUAUUUUUGGAUCACCGAGGCCGCCCGCCAAGUAUGGUGCCAUUCCGAGUCCCGCGGACGAACUUCGCCCACGCCCCCCACCAAGGCUAUAGCCCACCCGUUUUUUGGCCAUUUUUCCGCUGGGGGGUCUUGGGACCCCGACCUUCGGGGGCUGAUUUUUGGGCGCGGCUGUGCCCGUGGCCUAUUUUUGGCACACAGAGGCCGCCCGCGAAGUAUGGUGCCAUUCCGAGCCCCGCGGACGAACUUCGCCCACGCCCCCCACCAAGGCUAUAGCCCACGCGUUUCUUGGCCUUUUUUCCGCUGGGGGGUCUUGUGACCCCGACCUUCGGGGGCUGAUUUUUGGGCGCGGCUGUGCCCGUGGCCUAUUUUUGGCACACCGAGGCCGCCCGCCAAGUAUGGUGCCAUUCCGAGUCCCGCGGACGAACUUCGCCCACGCCCCCCACCAAGGCUAUAGCCCACCCGUUUUUUGGCCAUUUUUCCGCUGGGGGGUCUUGGGACCCCGACCUUCGGGGGCUGAUUUUUGGGCGCGGCUGUGCCCGUGGCCUAUUUUUGGCACACGGAGGCCGCCCGCCAAGUAUGGUGCCAUUCUGAGUCCCGCGGACGAACUUCGCCCACGCCCCCCACCAAGGCUAUAGCCCACCCGUUUUUUGGCCAUUUUUCCGCUGGGGGGUCUUGGGACCCCGACCUUCGGGGGCUGAUUUUUGGGCGCGGCUGUGCCCGUGGCCUAUUUUUGGUCUCGGAGGCCGCCCGCCAAGUCUGGGGCCAUUCCGAGUCCGGCGGACGAACUUCGCCCACGCCCCCCACAUAGGCUAUAGCCCACCCGUUUUUUGGCCAUUUUUCCGCUGGGGGGUCUUGGGACCCCGACCUUCGGGGGCUGAUUUUUGGGCACGGCUGUGCCCGUCGCCUAUUUUUGGCACACGGAGGCCGCCCGCCAAGUCUGGGGCCAUUCCGAGUCCCGCGGACAAACUUCGCCCACGCCCCCCACCAAGGCUAUAGCCCACCCUUUUUUUGGCCAUUUUUCCGCUGGGUGGUCUUGGGACCCCGACCUUCGGGGGCUGAUUUUUGGGCGCGGCUGUGCCCGUGGCCUAUUUUUGGCACACGAAGGCCGCCCGCCAAGUCUGGGGCCAUUCCGAGUCCCGCGGACGAACUUCGCCCACGCCCCCCACCAAGGCUAUAGCCCACCCUUUUUUUGGCCAUUUUUCCGCUGGGGGGUCUUGGGACCCCAACCUUCGGGGGCUGAUUUUUGGGCACGGCUGUGCCCGUGGCCUAUUUUUGGCACACGGAGGCAGCCCGCCAAGUAUGGUGCCAUUCCGAGUCCCGCGGACGAACUUCGCCCACUCCCCCCACCAAGGCUAUAGCCCACCCGUCUUUUGGCCAUUUUUCCGCUGGGGGGUCUUGGGACCCCGACCUUCGGGGGCUGAUUUUUGGGCGCGGCUGUGCCCGUGGCCUAUUUUUGGCAAACGGAGGCCGCCCGCCAAGUAUGGUGCCAUUCCGAGUACCGCGGACGAACUUCGCCUAUUUUUGGCACACGGAGGCCGCCCGCCAAGUAUGGUGCCAUUCCGAGUCCCGCGGACGAACUUCGCCCACUCCCCCCACCAAGGCUAUAGCCCACCCGUCUUUUGGCCAUUUUUCCUCUGGGGGGUCUUGGGACCCCGACCUUCGGGGGCUGAUUUUUGGGCGCGGCUGUGCCCGUGGCCUAUUUUUGGCACACGGAGGCUGUCCGCCAAGUCUGGGGCCAUUCCGAGUCCCGCGGACGAACUUCGCCCACGCCCCCCACCAAGGCUAUAGCCCACCCGUUUUUUGGCCAUUUUUCCGCUGGGGGGUUCUUGGGACUCCGACCUUCGGGGGCUGAUUUUUGGGCGCGGCUGUGCCCGUGGCCUAUUUUUGGCUCACGGAGGCCGCCCGCCAAGUAUGGUGCCAUUCCGAUUCCCGCGGACGAACUUCGCCCACUCCCCCCACCAAGGCUAUAGCCCACCCGUCUUUUGGCCAUUUUUCCGCUGGGGGGUCUUGGGUCCCCGACCUUCGGGGGCUGAUUUUUGGGCGCGGCUGUGCCCGUGGCCUAUUUUUGGCAAACGGAGGCCGCCCGCCAAGUAUGGUGCAAUUCCAAGUCCCGCGGACGAACUUUGCCCACUCCCCCCACCAAGGCUAUAGCCCACCCGUCUUUUGGCCAUUUUUCCACUGGGGGGUCUUGGGUCCCCGACCUUCGGGGGCUGAUUUUUGGGCGCGGCUGUGCCCGUGGCAUAUUUUUGGCAAACGGAGGCCGCCCGCCAAGUAUGGUGCCAUUCCGAGUCCCGCGGACGAACUUCGCCCACUCCCCCCACCAAGGCUAUAGCCCACCCGUCUUUUGGCCAUUUUUCCGCUGGGGGGUCUUGGGUCCCCGACCUUCGGGGCUGAUUUUUGGGCGCGGCUGUGCCCGUGGCCUAUUUUUGGCACACGGAGCCGCCCGCCAAGUAUGGUGCCAUUCCGAGUCCCGCGACGACUUCGCCCACUCCCCCCACCAAGGCUAUAGCCCACUCGUCUUUUGGCCAUUUUUCCGCUGGGGGGUCUUGGGUCCCCGACCUUCGGGGGCUGAUUUUUGGGCGCGGCUGUGCCCGUGGCCUAUUUUUGGCAAACGGAGGCCGCCCGCCANNNNNNNNNNNNNNNNNNNNNNNNNNNNNNNNNNNNNNNNNNNNNNNNNNNNNNNNNNNNNNNNNNNNNNNNNNNNNNNNNNNNNNNNNNNNNNNNNNNNNNNNNNNNNNNNNNNNNNNNNNNNNNNNNNNNNNNNNNNNNNNNNNNNNNNNNNNNNNNGGGGGGUCUUGGGACCCCGACCUUCGGGGGCUGAUUUUUGGGGCGCGGUUGUGCCCGUGGCUUAUUUUUGGCACACGGAGGCCGCCCGCCAAGUCUGGGGCCAUUCCGAGUCCCGCGGACGAACUUCGCCCACGCCCCCCACCAAGGCUAUAGCCCACCCGUUUUUUGGCCAUUUUUCCGCUGGGGGGUUCUUGGGACUCCGACCUUCGGGGGCUGAUUUUUGGGCGCGGCUGUGCCCGUGGCCUAUUUUUGGCACACGGAGGCCGCCCGCCAAGUCUGGGGCCAUUCCGAGUCCGGCGGACGAACUUCGCCCACGCCCCCCACAUAGGCUAUAGCCCACCCAUUUUUUGGCCAUUUUUCCGCUGGGGGGUCUUGGGACCCCGACCUUCGGGGGCUGAUUUUUGGGCGCGGCCGUGCCCGUGGUCUAUUUUUGGCACACGGAGGCCGCCCGCCAAGUAUGGUGCCAUUCCGAGUCCCGCGGACGAACUUCGCCCACUCCCGCCACCAAGGCUAUAGCCCACCCGUUUUUUGGCCAUUUUUCCGCUGGGGGGUCUUGGGACCCCGACCUUCGGGGGCUGAUUUUUGGGCGCGGCUGUGCCUGUGUGUCUAUUUUUGGCACACGGAGGCCGCCCGCCAAAUCUGGGGCCAUUCCGAGUCCCGCGGACGAACUUCGCCCACGCCCCCCACCAAGGCUAUAGCCCACCCGUUUUUUGGCCAUUUUUCCGCUGGGGGGUCUUGGGACUCCGACCUUCGGGGGCUGAUUUUUGGGCGCGGCUGUGCCCGUGGCCUAUUUUUGGCACACGGAGGCCGCCCGCCAAGUCUGGGGCCAUUCCAAGUCCGGCGGACGAACUUCGCCCACGCCCCCCACAUAGGAUAUAGCCCACCCGUUUUUUGGCCAUUUUUCCGCAGGGGGGUCUUGGGACCCCGACCUUCGGGGGCUGAUUUUUGGGCGCGGCUGUGCCCGUGGCCUAUUUUUGGCACACGGAGGCCGCCCGCCAAGUCUGGGGCCAUUCCGAGUCCGGCGGACGAACUUCGCCACGCCCCCCACCAAGGCUAUAGCCCACCCGUUUUUUGGCCAUUUUUCCGCUGGGGGGUCUUGGGACCCCGACCUUCGGGGGCUGAUUUUUGGGCGCGGCUGUGCCCGUGGCCUAUUUUUGCCACACGGUGGCCGCCCGCCAUGUCUGGAGCCAUUCUGAGUCCCGCGGACGAACUUCGCCCAUGCCGCCCACCAAGGCUAUAGCCCCCCCGUUUUUUGGCCAUUUUUCCGCUGGGGGGUCUUGGGACCCCGACCUUCGGGGGCUGAUUUUUGGGCGCGGCUGUGCCCGUGGCCCAUUUUUGGCAAACGGAGGCCGCCCGACCCCGACCUUCGGGGGCUGAUUUUUGGGCGCGGCUGUGCCCGUGGCCCAUUUUUGGCACAUGGAGGCCGCCCGCCAUGUCUGGGGCCAUUCCGAGUCCGGCGGACGAACUUCGCCCACGCCCCGCGCCAAGGCUAUAGCCCACCAGUUUUUUGGCCAUUUUUCCGCUGGGGGGUCUUGGGACCCUGACCUUCGGGGGCUGAUUUUUGGGCGCGGCUGUGCCCGUGGCCUAUUUUUGGCACACGGAGGCCGCCCGCCAAGUCUGGGGCCAUUCUGAGUCCCGCGGACGAACUUCGCCCACGCCCCUCACCAAGGCUAUAGCCCACCCUUUUUUUGGCCAUUUUUUCGCUGGGGGGUCUUGGGACCCCGACCUUCGGGGGCUGAUUUUUGUACGCGGCUGUGCCCGUGGUCUAUAUUUGUUCACGAUAGCCGCCCGCCAAGUUUGGGGACAUUCCNNNNNNNNNNNNNNNNNNNNNNNNNNNNNNNNNNNNNNNNNNNNNNNNNNNNNNNNNNNNNNNNNNNNNNNNNNNNNNNNNNNNNNNNNNNNNNNNNNNNCGGCGGACGAACUUCGCCCACGCCCCCCACCAAGGCUAUAGCCCACCCGUUUUUUUACCAUUUUUCCGCUGGGGGACUUGGGACCCCGACCUUCGGGGGCUGAUUUUUGGGGGCGGCUGUGCCCGUGGCCUAUUUUUGGCACAGGGAGGCCGCCCGCCAAGUCUGGGGCCAUUCCGAGUCCUGCGGACGAACUUCGCCCACGACCCCCACCAAGGCUAUAGCCCACACAUUUUUUGGCCAUUUUUCCGCUGGGGGGUCUUGGGACCCCGACCUUCGGGGGCUGAUUUUUGGGCGCGGCUGUGCCCGUGGACUAUUUUUGGAACACGGGGGCCGCCCGCCAAGUCUGGGGCCAUUCUGAGUCCCGCGGACGAACUUCGCCCACGCCCCCCACCAAGGCUAUAGCCCACCCGUUUUUUGGCCAUUUUUCCGCUGGGGGGUCUUGGGACCCCGACCUUCGGGGGCUGAUUUUUGGGCGCGGCUGUGCCCGUGGCCUAUUUUUGGCACACGGAGGCCGCCCGCCAAGUCUGGGGCCAUUCCGAGUCCCGCGGACGAACUUCGCCCACGCCCCCCACCAAGGCUAUAGCCCACCCGUUUUUUGGCCAUUGUUCCGCUGCGGGGUCUUUGGACCCCGACCUUCGGGGGCUGAUUUUUGGGCGCGGCUAUGCCCGUGGCCUAUUUUUGGCACACGGUGGCCGCCCGCCAAGUCUGGGGCCAUUCCGAGUCCGGCGGACGAACUUCGCCCACGCCCCCAACCAAGGCUAUAGCCCACCCGUUUUUUGGCCAAUUUUCCGCUGGGGGGUCUUGGGACCCUGACCUUCGGGGGCUGAUUUUUGGGCGCGGCUUUGCCCGUGGCCUAUUUUUGGCACAGGGAGGCCGCCCGCGAAGUCUGGGGCCAUUCCGAGUCCGGCGGACAAACUUCGCCCACGCCCCCCACCAAGGCUAUAGCCCACCCAUUUUUUGGCCAUUUUUCCGCUGGGGGGUCUUGGGACCCCGACCUUCGGUGGCUGAUUUUGGGCGCGGCUGUGCCCGUGGCCUAUUUUUGGCACACGGAGGCCGCCCUCCAAGUCUGUGCCAUUCCGAGUCCCGCGGACGAACUUCGCCCACGACCCCCACCAAGGCUAUAGCCCACCCGUUUUUUGGCCAUUUUUCCGCUGGGGGGUCUUGGGACCCCGACCUUCGGGGGCUGAUUUUUGGGCGCGGCUGUGCCCGUGGCCUAUUUUUGGCACAGGGAGGCCGCCCGCCAAGUCUGGGGCCAUUCCUAGUCCGGACGACGAAUUUCGCCCGCGCCCCCCACAUAGGCUAUAGGCCAUCCGUUUUUUGGCCAUUUUUCCGCUGGGGGGUCUUGGGACCCCGACCUUCGGGGGCUGAUUUGUGGCGCGGCUGUGCCCGUGGCCUAUUUUUUGCACACGGAGGCCGCCCACCAAGUCUGGUGCCAUUCCGAGUCCGGCCGACGAACUUCGCCCACGCCCCCCACCAAGGCUAUAGCCCACCUGUUUUUUGGCCAUUUUUCCACUGGGGGGUCUUGGGGCCCCGACCUUCGGGGGCUGAUUUUUGGGCGCGGCUGUGCCCGUGGCCUAUUUUUGGCACACGGAGGCCGCCCGCCAAGUCUGGGGCCAUUCCUAGUCCGGACGACGAACUUCGCCCGCGCCCCCCACAUAGGCUAUAGCCCACCCGUUUUUUGGCCAUUUUUCCGCUGGGGGGUCUUGGGACCCCGACCUUCGGGGGCUGAUUUUUGGGCGCGGCUGUGCCCGUGGCCUAUUUUUGGCACACGGAGGCCGCCCGCCAAGUCUGGGGCCAUUCCGAGUCCCGCGGACGAACUUCGCCCACGCCCCCCACCAAGGCUAUAGCCCACCCGUUUUUUAGCCAUUUUUCCGCUGGGGGGUCUUGGGGCCCCGACCUUCGGGGGCUGAUUUUGGGCGCGGCUGUGCCCGUGGCCUAUUUUUGGCACACGGAGGCCGCCCGCCAAGUCUGGUGCCAUUCUGAGUCCCGCGGCCGAACUUCGCCCACGCCCCCCACCAAGGCUAUAGCCCACCCGUUUAUUGGCCAUUUUUCCGCCGGGGGGUCUUGGGACCCCGACCUCCGGGGGCUGAUCUUUGGGCGCGGCUGUGCCCGUGGCCUAUUUUUUGCACACGGAGGCCGCCCGCCAAGUCUGGUGCCAUUCCGAGUCCCGCGGACGAACUUCGCCCACGCCCCCCACCAAGGCUAUAGCCCACCCGUUUUUUGGCCAUUUUUCCGCUGGGGGGUCUUGGGACCCCGACCUUCGGGGGCUGAUUUUUGGGCGCGGCUGUGCCCGUGGCCUAUUUUUGGCACACGGAGGCCGCCCGCCAAGUCUGGGGCCAUUCCAAGUCCCGCGGACCAACUUCGCCCACGCCCCCCACCCAGGCUAUAGCCCACCCGUUUUUUGGCCAUUUUUCCGCUGGGGGGUCUUGGGACCCCGACCUUCGGGGGCUGAUUUUUGGGCGCGGCUGUGCCCGUGGCCUAUUUUUGGCACACGGAGGCCGCCCGCCAAGUCUGGGGCCAUUCCGAGUCCCGCGGACGAACUUCGCCCACGCCCCCCACCAAGGCUAUAGCCCACCCUUUUUUUGGCCAUUUUUCCGCUGGUGGGUCUUGGAACCCCGACCUUCGGGGGCUGAUUUUUGGGCGCGGCUGUGCCCGUGGCCUAAUUUUGGCACACGUAGGCCGCCCGCCAAGUCUGGUGCCAUUCCGAGUCCCGCGGACGAACUUCGCCCACGCCCCCCACCAAGGCUAUAGCCCACCCGUUUUUUGGCCAUUUUUCCGCUGGGGGGUCUUGGGGCCCCGACCUUCGGGGGCUGAUUUGUGGCGCGGCUGUGCCCGUGGCCUAUUUUUGGCACACGGAGGCCGCCCGCGAAGUCUGGUGCCAUUCCGAGUCCGGCCGACGAACUUCGCCCACGCCCCCCACCAAGGCUAUAGCCCACCCGUUUUUUGGCCAAUUUUCCGCUGGGGGGUCUUGGGACCCCGACCUUCGGGGGCUGAUUAUUGGGCGCGGCUGUGCCCAUGGCCUAUUUGUGGCACAGGGAGGCCGCCUGCCAAGUCUGGGGCCAUUCCGAGUCCCGCGGACGAACUUCGCCCACGACCCCCACCAAGGCUAUAGCCCACCCGUUUUUUGGCCAUUUUUCCGCUGGGGGGUCUUGGAACCCCGACCUUCGGGGGCUGAUUU
rnacentral:lncRNA from 1 species